rnacentral:lncRNA from 1 species
AGAAAAUUUAGAAAGUGAAGCAAAGCACAGUGAAAACAAAAUAAUGACCCACUGUUCCUUAGAGCAGUAUUUCUUUGCUGUUCUAAUAACAAUUAUAUCAGAAGAGAUGCCAGCAGGUUCUUUUUUAAAACAAAAAAAGAAAACAAAAAGGAAAGGUUUUGAUGUUUAAAUAAACUUAACAAGCAUUGUAUACUGCAGAGAGAGAGAGGGAGAGAGAGAGGGAGGGAGAGAGAGAGGGAGGGAGGGAGAGAGAGAGAGGGAGGGGGAGAGAGAGAGAGGGAGGGAGAGAGAGGGAGAUAGAGGGAGGGAGGGAGAGACCCUCAUGCCCAUGAGACUCAACACCAUGCAGAUUUUGCAGAAUUGCCACUGAUCUCAUCUAUCUCUUCCCAAGUACUUUAUGGCCCCAGGAAGAAGCGGAAGGAUGUUCCGGGUGCGUGCACAGACAUCAGUGCUUGGCAGCCUGACCAGCCACAAGAAUUCCCUGGGAACAGAGAGGAACUGGCCAAGAAUCUCCAGAAUGCUGUCGAGCGCAAGAGGGCAGGCAGCCCAUGCCGAAUCAGGAAGAGGAGCCUGUGCUCAGCCUCCCCAGAGACUAAAGCGACACCGCACCGCAUUGGUUAUGGUAGUUGCCACCCAUUUUCUCCUCCAAACCAUUUGUCUUCAUCCAUUGCCCUUGUGACCGCUGGAUUUAGGAAGAAGUGUGACCCAUUUCUCAGCCAAUUGUAUGUGAAGAAUAGCAUCUCAGGGACUUUCAAGAAAGCAUUGUUGCUUUCAAAGAGACAAGGAAGAGAUCGUCCUUUUCUUUUCCAGGGCUCGAUUAUGUCUGGGUGUGAUGUGGACCCCUGAGUCACCACAGUCACCAGGUCCUUGGGGACGACAGUGGCAUCCUGAGUAAGCAGCCCCAGAGCCACACCACCUCCAGAAUCCUUGUGUGUAAGAUAAUAAACUCCUCAUCUAAGCAGAUUUGAAUUUUUAUUCUCAAUUACUGAAGCUGAA